rnacentral:ncRNA from 1 species
AUAGGUCAGAGUUUGAUCCUGGCUCAGGACGAACGCUGGCGGCGUGCCUAAUACAUGCAAGUUGAGCGAUGAAGAUUGGUGCUUGCACCAAUUUGAAGAGCAGCGAACGGGUGAGUAACGCGUGGGGAAUCUGCCUUUGAGCGGGGGACAACAUUUGGAAACGAAUGCUAAUACCGCAUAAUAACUUUAAACAUAAGUUUUAAGUUUGAAAGAUGCAAUUGCAUCACUCAAAGAUGAUCCCGCGUUGUAUUAGCUAGUUGGUGAGGUAAAGGCUCACCAAGGCGAUGAUACAUAGCCGACCUGAGAGGGUGAUCGGCCACAUUGGGACUGAGACACGGCCCAAACUCCUACGGGAGGCAGCAUGCGAAUUCG